UACGUAGGGGGCAAGCGUUAUCCGGAUUUACUGGGUGUAAAGGGAGCGUAGACGGCGAAGCAAGUCUGAAGUGAAAGGACGGGGCCCAACCCCGGAACUGCUUUGGAAACUAUUUGACUAGAGUACGGGAGGGGUAAGCGGAAUUCCUAGUGUAGCGGUGAAAUGCGUAGAUAUUAGGAGGAACACCGGUGGCGAAGGCGGCUUACUGGACCGUAACUGACGUUGAGGCUCGAAGGCGUGGGGAACAAAC
rnacentral:rRNA from 1 species